AUGUUCUACUACGGCCUAGAUUUCCAUGAUCUGGCCCCGAAUUUUAUUCUCAACAUCUCGGCGUUUAUCAUUGUGUGCGAGGCCUUCCUCUGCAUCCAACCCCACUUCGGCUUGUGGCUCAAGACCCUCAGUGUCAAGCCGAAGGUUGUGAAGGGCAGCCAAGCGGAGUGCGGAGGCGCCAUGGUGGGCAGGAUGUCCCACAUUAGGUGGCUGGAGGGCACCUUUGUGGAAACCAUGAAGGGGUGGCAAUCGGGGUGGUUCUACAUCACUGAGCCGCGUGAUCCCGAAUGGGCAGCGGCCCCCGAAUUCAGAUCCGGCAUCCCCACACGGCUCACCUCCUGGAAAGAGAGCGGCCGGAUUUGGGGCGAUUCGGAGGAGCUGACCGGACUCCAAGCCUGCGUCCAAAAGCUGGUGGACAAGAAGCUCAAGCUUGUCAACGUAGUCCAGGUCAUGCUCAUCUGCCAGAUUCUCCCGUGCCAACGACGGGGCUUCAAUAUGUGGGAGUUCGAUCCGGCGCAGCACCAGACUUUGAAUGGGCUCUUCGACACUACGUACGAAGAGGUUUGGAAGGUGCUGUUCAAGGGCGCCGAGGCUCCCGCAUCCGCUACUGAAGAUCGCGGAUUCAGCUCGCAGCGUCCAGCUGACGAGGUAAGUGAUAUUGUCCUUUACGGGACGCUUGUUAUUCAUAGUUUGACUCUAUGCGGGAUCUAA
rnacentral:rRNA from 1 species